rnacentral:ncRNA from 1 species
UAAAAGCAACAGAAUAAGCAGGACGGUGGCCAUGGAAGUCGGAAUCCGCUAAGGAGUGUGUAACAACUCACCUGCCGAAUCAACUAGUCCUGAAAAUGGAUGGCGUUGGA